UUGUCUCAAAGAUUAAGCCAUGCAUGUCUAAGUACGAGCCGCAAACGCAAGGUGAAACCGCGAAAGGCUCAUUAAAUCAGUUAUGGUUCCUUGGAUCGUACCCACAAUUACUUGGAUAACUGUGGUAAUUCUAGAGCUAAUACAUGCAAACAGAGCUCCGACCGGAGACGGGAGGAGCGCUUUUAUUAGAACAAAACCGAUCGGCGGCGCUCGCGCUCCGGCGCGCGCGUCGGCCGCACGCCCACGGCGAAUCUGAAUAACUUACCGCUGAUCGCACGGCCCCAGCGCCGGCGACGCAUCUUUCAAAUGUCUGCCUUAUCAACUGUCGACGGUAGGUUCUGCGCCUACCGUGGUCGUAACGGGUAACGGGGAAUCAGGGUUCGAUUCCGGAGAGGGAGCCUGAGAAACGGCUACCACAUCCAAGGAAGGCAGCAGGCGCGCAAAUUACCCACUCCCGGCACGGGGAGGUAGUGACGAAAAAUAACGAUACGGGACUCAUCCGAGGCCCCGUAAUCGGAAUGAGUACACUUUAAAUCCUUUAACGAGGAUCGAUUGGAGGGCAAGUCUGGUGCCAGCAGCCGCGGUAACUCCAGCUCCAAUAGCGUA
rnacentral:rRNA from 1 species